AAGGUGUUAACUUAAGAUUUAAAGUGUUAGAUUUUUAAUCUAAAAAUGAUUUUCACAUCUUGG
rnacentral:tRNA from 1 species